UACGUGAGGUCCGAGCGUUGUCCGGAAUUAUUGGGCGUAAAGGGCUCGAUAGGCGGUCCGUCCGCGUCGGGAGUGAAACUCGGAGCUUAACUCCGAAGCCCGUGCCUUCCGAAUACGGGUACAGACGUAGAGGUAGGCCAGGGGGAGAGCGGAACUCCUGGUGUAGCGGUGGAAUGCGCAGAUAUCAGGAAGAACACCGGUGGCGAAGGCGGCUCUCGUGGGCCUUACCUGACGCUGAGGAGCGAAAGCGUGGGUAGCGAACAGG
rnacentral:rRNA from 1 species